AAAAAAUAAAAAGUUUAAGAAAUUUUUAAAAUAUAUAAAUAAAUUAUGAUAAAAACUUUAAAAUUUUAGAUAUAAUGCUAAAUUUAGAACUUCUUAUCUCUUAUACUAUAAAGAAGAGUUUCACUCUCUUUUGAGCCCUCCACGUCACUAAAUAGGUAAACAAUAGAGUGACACGUGUCCAGGUCUGCGUUUCAUUUAAUAUAUGCGAGAUGCGAAAUGCGCUUCGAUCCAAUCUAUUCUCUGUUUCUUCUUUCGCUUCUUCUCCCUCUCCAUGACAAAUCAUCACCGGUCACAAAUUCUUUACUGCUUCUUCAAUUUGCUAACGACACCAGAUCGACACCUUAAUCCUAGCUAUAUAACAAUGAUAGGUUCAAUUCAGAUGGAAUCCUCACAACCGGUCCUUAAUUUCAAGACACCAAGUUUCCACGGCCUCUGAUCGCCGUUGAGCCAUUGUUCCUCCGGUGGAGUCAUAAACGAAGGUAUCUCAAAUUCAAAGCCUUCUUCACGGAAACCCCUUCCAAACAUGAAGCCAUCCACGUUUCUGAUGUUACGCAGUCGGCGGCGUUGAUCUCGCACGGCUCCGUAGAUGUCAAAUCAGGUCACCACCAGCUGACUUAUGUAGCUGACCAACGUCGUCGGUGCAGCUAUCCACGGUUCGUUCCAGUUUGGAUCGGAUGCUUUUGAAAAGCUUUAAAAAGGAAACUGGGUGAGAAGAAGGCACAUACCACCAUGAGACGUACGCGUAGGCGCCUGGCAACUCAACCAAUGGUAGUAUUUUUUGUGCUAAAUAUUUUCAUUGUUUGGUUAAGUUUUCUUUAAAAAAAUAUGUGUGUCAUUAUGCAUACAUUCAACUGUCAUUGGUCUGAUUCUUUUUCAAUUCAGAGGAAAUAUUUCCUAUGUUUUUCUUUAUUUGGCUUUAGCAAAUCGGACAAGAGAUGUACAGAUGGUGUUUGGUCCAUUCACAAGACUGUGUGUGAUCAUCCCGGCGUUAUCAAACUACAAGGUUUGGUUACUUCAAAUCUGUCUUAUGUAAAAUGAAAAUUAGAUCUUCGUAAGAGGAAAAUGAACUAUCUGAGGUAAGACAGAUGUUAGUUUUGUAAGUUUUUCUCUUAAGUUUUUUAAGACAGAUGUUAGCAUUUGGGGAAUUCAAGUAUAUUUAGAGGGAAAAGGCUUAAAAAGAAAGAAUGAGGAAGUUAAAUGUUUUGUGAGUCAUGAUAUUCUGGCAUGAAUAAGGGUUACGUUCUCACAUGUUUCACUCACUAAUCUCUGACUUUAUUUUUUUAUUAGAAACCGACAAAAUUGGAUUUUUGGAAAGGGGUUCGAGCCCCGUGCCAGGAAGGGAUUUGUGCAUACAAGUAUCAGGUUUGUUCUUUUGCAAAAUGUCUAACAUAGCGGAGAAGAGAUCAUGGAAAGAGUUGUAUUUGGUGGAUGAUGGUCAAAAGGGUUGUGUAAAGUUGAAAUCAUUUUUCUUAGCAAAAAAAAGUUGAAUCAUUUUGGUUGGGGAAAAGAAACACGAGGGAAAGAAGUUUUGUGUUAUGGUCCAAACUCUAAAGCUAUUGUAAUUUGUGGGUUAAUCUUACCCACAAAUUUUAAAAACUAGAAAAGAAACAAGGAUGAGAAUCUUAUUUUAUUGUAACUCAAAAAUAAUAAUAUUGGUGAAUAAUAAUUUUCUUUUGUUAC